rnacentral:rRNA from 1 species
GACGAACGCUGGCGGCGUGCUUAACACAUGCAAGUCGAACGAAGUGGCGCACGGGUGAGUAACGCGUAAUCAACCUGCCCUUCAGCGGGGGACAACAGUUGGAAACGACUGCUAAUACCGCAUACUGAUGGAGGGGAUUGCGUCUGAUUAGCUAGCUGGUGGGGGAACGGCCCACCAAGGCGAUGAUCAGUAGGCGGUCUGAGAAGAAGAACGGGAACAUGGGGACUGGGACACGGCCCAGACGACGAAGGGAGGCAGGAAUGGGGAAGCAUCCGCAAUGGGCGAAAGUCUGACGGAGCAACGCCGGGUGAGUGAUGACGGCCUUCGGGGUGUAAAGGUCUGUUAAUCGGGACGCGGUACCGGAAGAAAAAGCAACGGCUAACUACGUGCCAGCCGCCGCGGUAAUUC